rnacentral:lncRNA from 7 species
UUAGCACAAAGCGGGAACACGCAGGUCGUUAUCGGUGUCAGUACCGGGUGUCUGAGUCUGCCGCGAUGUCAGUGAAGAGUGAUCCUGUGGAGCUGGUGCUGACAGAAUUUCCCUUCACCCUGAGCAACAUGUGGGAACAGGGACCAAUGUCACCAUCCGCUGCUGGAACAAGGACUAUGGGGCCACUUUCUUCCUGCACAAGGAUGGGAGCUCAGACCCUCUCCAGCGCCAGGACUCCAGUGGUGGGGACACAGCCACUUUCACCCUCUUUGGGGUGACCCCAGCUGACAGUGGCACCUACAGGUGUUCCUACCGCCUCUGGCGCUACGCCUUUAUGUCCUCACCCCUUGGGGACAGCGUGAUGCUGGAGGUGACACCCACACCUGCACCCCCAGGUGCCCCCCCCAAAAAGCCUGAGGCCAUGGAGUUCCAGGUGCCUUCCAGUGACAGCGAGGGACUGACCUACUUGGAGCUGCAAGCUGUGACCCCCAGCACACAGCCCCCCAACUCCCCCAUCGCCCCACAGCCCUCUGUUAUCUACACUGAGGUGGCCGUUCGGGGGCGCCACUGAUGCCUCCAUACGUGUGCACAAACACGUGUGUGUUGUAUGCACACAUGUGCUUCCAGCAUGCACAGUGCAGUUGUGUUGUGUGUGCUCACCAUCACGUGUGCACUGCAUACAGGUACCAUGUAUGUGUUCAUAUGUUACCUGCGUGUGCACCAUCACAUGUGCACAACAGUUGUACACAGAUGUGCACUCCGUGACUAACUCUGUUCCUUUGUGUCUGUGCGAUGCCACGUGUGUACACCAGCAUAUGUGCACAGUAGUGCACAUGUGUGUCCUUAGCAUGCUUUCUGAGACUGGUAAGGAAUGCAUGAGGUGACCAGCAACACUUUGUGGACAGCUCUUCGUUCCAAAGCAUUGCUUUGGAGCCGUUUGAUUUCAAAGAGAAGCUCUCCAUAAAUGGAUGUGUAUUCCUGCUCCGAGCCUUGGCUGACUCCAUCGUCGUAUCCACCCCAGCUGACUGGGAGAGGUGCGACUCAGGAGGCAGAGAAAGAUUCACCUCCCUCCAAACCCACUCAGAGGGACGGUGCACGUCUGCUCCCUGUGCCUGCACUAUCCGUGUCCUCACUGUGUACGUGUGUCCUCACCAUGUGCCCCACAUCAGCGCCUCGUCUGUCCCCACAGCACACACAUGUCCCUCCCGUGUGCGCAUCUCCAGCUCCACAUCCCAAACCAGCACCGGACCCACCGUGGUGUUGGGGCAGGAUUCCCAUUUCUGGAGGGUUUUAUCUCACAUUCCUGGAUGAGAAUUCUGAUUCCAAAGUGUUUCAUUCUGCUUUGUGAGGAGGAUUCCUAUUUCUGGAAGUUUUACCCUUCCUCUACCUCUGAAGGUUUUCAUUCCUUCUUCUGGGGAUAAUGCUUGGAUCUGAAGGGUUUUCACCAACCUCUGGGAGGAGAUUUCCCAUUUCCAAAUGUUUUUGUCAUCAUUUCUGGUAGAAUUAUCAUUUGUGGAUGUAUUUAUCCAAACUUUUGUGAAAAAUUCCCCAAAUUCUUGGGAAAAUGCAGCCCCAGGAGCAGGAGAUCCAGCCGGAGAAGGACAGAUGAACGGAUGGCCAAUGUACUGGUGCAAACCGUCUCCAAACCACUGAAAAAAAUGAAAUGGUAA